rnacentral:rRNA from 1 species
GACGAACGCUGGCGGCGUGCUUAACACAUGCAAGUCGAACGGAAAGGCCUUUUCGGAGGUACUCGAGUGGCGAACGGGUGAGUAACACGUGGGUGAUCUGCCCUGCACUCUGGGAUAAGCCUGGGAAACUGGGUCUAAUACCGGAUAGGACCGCACUUUAGUGUGUGUGGUGGAAAGUUUUUUCGGUGUAGGAUGAGCCCGCGGCCUAUCAGCUUGUUGGUGGGGUAAUGGCCUACCAAGGCGGCGACGGGUAGCCGGACUGAGAGGUUGGUCGGCCACAUUGGGACUGAGAUACGGCCAGACUCCUACGGGAGGCAGCAGUGGGGAAUAUUGCACAAUGGGCGCAAGCCUGAUGCAGCGACGCCGCGUGGGGGAUGACGGCCUUCGGGUUGUAAACUCCUUUCGCCAGGGACGAAGCGUUUUGUGACGGUACCUGGAGAAGAAGCACCGGCUAACUACGUG